rnacentral:rRNA from 1 species
GGUUGACCUCGAAUCAGGUAGGAAUACCCGCUGAACUUAAGCAUAUCAAU